UAACUUGACAUGAAUGAUUGUGGAAGU
rnacentral:piRNA from 1 species